UACGAAGGGGGCUAGCGUUGUUCGGAAUUACUGGGCGUAAAGGGCGCGUAGGCGGUGUGUCAAGUCAGGCGUGAAAGCCCCGGGCUCAACCUGGGAACAGCGCUUGAGACUGGCACGCUCGAGUACGGGAGAGGAUGGUGGAAUUCCCAGUGUAGAGGUGAAAUUCGUAGAUAUUGGGAAGAACACCGAUGGCGAAGGCAGCCAUCUGGACCGACACUGACGCUGAGGCGCGAAAGCGUGGGGAGCAAACAGG
rnacentral:rRNA from 1 species